CUCCCAAGUAAAGGAAAUAAAAACAACUGGUUACAACCAAUUUCAUUCAUCUUUGAGAACACAAAAUAAAUAAUACUGUAGUUUGUUUUUGUUUUUAAUAAAACAAAGUCAAAGGAAUAACUAAAUUGCAUAAGACACUUAUGUCCCCUGAAGGACUUCAACACCAUUCAGCAGUGGAUGCAGUUUAUGUUCCAUAAAAGACUUGGUGGUCAUAGAUUGGAACAAGCGCUGGACCAAGCGGAGUCGCUGACUAUAAAGCACUUUGGGCCUUCUAAGAAGCACUAGCGCUAAUCAUCUAUCAAAGGAGACGUUGGCGUCUUACUCAGGCAUUGGAGCAACAAGCUACGUGGGAGCGACUACAAAUGAAGAGAUUUUGUGAAAUUGUGGGACCUCUUGUGGCACCCGCUAUGUGGUGCCGGUCACUGUUCACUCAUUUAACUUGAAAAAAAAAAAAAAG